CGGAGCAAGCGUUAUCCGGAAUUAUUGGGCGUANAGCGUUCGUAGGCGGUUCGUUAAGUCAAAUCUGAAAGCCCUCAGCUUAACUGGGGAGAGUGAUUUGAAACUGGCGGACUUGAGUAUGGCANAGGUAAGUGGAAUUUCAUGUGUAGCGGUGGUAUGCGUAGAUAUAUGACGGAACACCAGUGGCGAAGGCGGCUUACUGGACCAGAACUGACGCUGAUGAACGAAAGCGUGGGUAACACACAGGAUUAGAUACCCUGGUAGUCCACGCCGUAAACGAUGAGAACUAAGUGUUGGGGUUACCCAGUGCUGAAGCUAACGCAUUAAGUUCUCCGCCUGGGGAGUACGACCGCAAGGUUGAAACUCAAAGGAAUUGACGGGUCUCCGCACAAGCGGUGGAGCAUGUUGUUUAAUUCGAAGAUACGCGAAGAACCUUACCAGGUCUUGACAUCCCCUUGAUCGCUCUAGAGAUAGAGUUUCCCUUCGGGGCAAGGGUGACAGGUGGUGCAUGGUUGUCGUCAGCUCGUGUCGUGAGAUGUUGGGUUAAGUCCCGCAACGAGCGCAACCCCUAUUAAUAGUUGCUAACAUUAAGUUGAGGACUCUAUUGAGACUGCCAGUGAUAAACUGGAGGAAGGUGGGGAUGACGUCAAAUCAUCAUGCCCCUUAUGACCUGGGCUACAAACGUGCUACAAUGGACGGUACAAAGAGUUGCCAACCCGUGAGGGGGAGCUAACCUUUUAAAACCGUUCUCAGUUCGGAUAGAAGUCUGCAACUCGACUUCUUGAAGUUGGAAUCGCUAGUAAUCGUGGGUCAGCAUACCACGGUGAAUACGUUCUCGGAGAUUGUACACACCGCCCGUCAUACCACGAGAGUUUGUAAUAUCCGAAGUGUGUGGCCUAACCAGCUUGCUGGAGGGAGCACCCUAAGGUAGGACAGAUGAUUGGGGUAAAGUCGUAACAAGGUAACC
rnacentral:rRNA from 1 species